rnacentral:rRNA from 1 species
UACGUAGGGGGCAAGCGUUGUCCGGAAUCAUUGGGCGUAAAGCGCGUGUAGGCGGUUCGAUAAGUCUGCUGUGAAAGUCCAGGGCUCAACCCUGGGAUGCCGGUGGAUACUGUCGGACUAGAGUGCGGAAGAGGCGAGUGGAAUUCCCGGUGUAGCGGUGAAAUGCGCAGAUAUCGGGAGGAACACCGGUGGCUAAGGCGGGUCUCUGGGCCGUAACUGACGCUGAGGAGCGAAAGCAUGGGGAGCGAACAGG